rnacentral:rRNA from 1 species
UACAGAGGUCUCAAGCGUUGUUCGGAAUUACUGGGCGUAAAGGGCUCGUAGGUGGCCAACUAAGUCAGACGUGAAAUCCCUCGGCUUAACCGGGGAACUGCGUCUGAUACUGGAUGGCUUGAGUUUGGGAGAGGGACGCGGAAUUCCAGGUGUAGCGGUGAAAUGCGUAGAUAUCGGGAGGAACACCAGUAGCGAAGGCGGCUCGCUGGGCCAUUCCUGACGCUGAGACGCGAAAGCGUGGGGAGCAAACAGG